rnacentral:piRNA from 1 species
UGGAGGAGAAAUUUUACCUUUGUCCAUUUC